CAUCAACAAUAGGGGUGCCACAUAACAACGGGCUGAGAUCAUACCCAGAACCUGAUCCGGAUAAUGCCGGCGGAGGGAUGCAAAAACCCCUUU
rnacentral:ncRNA from 1 species